CACUGUUCCUGGUCUCCGUAGGUGACCUGCGGAGGGUCAUUACACAAAUAUGAAGGCGGGCUGGAACCUCUCGGGGUUACAGCCUUGCUGAAUUAUUCACCCUUGUCUUUUGCGUACUUCUUGUUUCCUUGGUGGGUUCGCCCACCACUAGGACAAACAUAAACCUUUUGUAAUUGCAAUCAGCGUCAGUAACAAAUUAAUAAUUACAACUUUCAACAACGGAUCUCUUGGUUCUGGCAUCGAUGAAGAACGCAGCGAAAUGCGAUAAGUAGUGUGAAUUGCAGAAUUCAGUGAAUCAUCGAAUCUUUGAACGCACAUUGCGCCCUUUGGUAUUCCAAAGGGCAUGCCUGUUCGAGCGUCAUUUGUACCCUCAAGCUUUGCUUGGUGUUGGGCGUCUUGUCUCUAGCUUUGCUGGAGACUCGCCUUAAAGUAAUUGGCAGCCGGCCUACUGGUUUCGGAGCGCAGCACAAGUCGCACUCUCUAUCAGCAAAGGUCUAGCAUCCACUAAGCCUUUUUUUCAACUUUUGACCUCGGAUCAGGUAGGGAUACCCGCUGAACUUAAGCAUAUCAUAAACCGGGAAGGAA
rnacentral:rRNA from 1 species